UCCGGUAUGGUGUAGUGGCUAACAUUUGACGCUCUCAAGCCGUCCGACCGCCUGGUCGGUCUGCGAGAAGGGUGCCGUCAAGCCCUGGGUUCGAUUCCCAGUACCGGAG
rnacentral:tRNA from 1 species